UACAGAGGUGGCAAGCGUUGUUCGGAAUUACUGGGCGUAAAGGGCGCGUAGGCGGGAUGGCAAGUCAGUCGUGAAAUCUCUCGGCUCAACCGAGAAACGUCGGCUGAUACUGCCGUUCUUGAGGGAUGCAGAGGAGACUGGAAUUCCCGGUGUAGCGGUGAAAUGUGUAGAGAUCGGGAGGAACACCGGUGGCGAAGGCGGGUCUCUGGGCAUUUCCUGACGCUGAGGCGCGAAAGCGUGGGGAGCAAACGGG
rnacentral:rRNA from 1 species